UGCAGCGACGCCGCGUGAGGGAUGACGGCCUAUCGGGUUGUAAACCUCUUUCAGUAGGGAAGAAGCGAAAGUGACGGUACCUGCAGAAGAAGCGCCGGCUAACUACGUGCCAGCAGCCGCGGUAAUACGUAGGGCGCAAGCGUUAUCCGGAUUUAUUGGGCGUAAAGAGCUCGUAGGCGGUUUGUCGCGUCUGCCGUGAAAGUCCGAGGCUCAACCUCGGAUCUGCGGUGGGUACGGGCAGACUAGAGUGAUGUAGGGGAGACUGGAAUUCCUGGUGUAGCGGUGAAAUGCGCAGAUAUCAGGAGGAACACCGAUGGCGAAGGCAGGUCUCUGGGCAUUUACUGACGCUGAGGAGCGAAAGCAUGGGGAGCGAACAGGAUUAGAUACCCUGGUAGUCCAUGCCGUAAACGUUGGGCACUAGGUGUGGGGGACAUUCCACGUUUUCCGCGCCGUAGCUAACGCAUUAAGUGCCCCGCCUGGGGAGUACGGCCGCAAGGCUAAAACUCAAAGGAAUUGACGGGGGCCCGCACAAGCGGCGGAGCAUGCGGAUUAAUUCGAUGCAACGCGAAGAACCUUACCAAGGCUUGACAUGUGCCAGACCGCUUCAGAGAUGGAGUUUCCCUUCGG
rnacentral:rRNA from 1 species